UCGCGGCCUAUCAGCUUGUUGGUGGGGUAAUGGCCUACCAAGGCGUCGACGGGUAGCCGGCCUGAGAGGGCGACCGGCCACACUGGGACUGAGACACGGCCCAGACUCCUACGGGAGGCAGCAGUGGGGAAUAUUGCGCAAUGGACGAAAGUCUGACGCAGCAACGCCGCGUGAGGGAUGACGGCCUUCGGGUUGUAAACCUCUUUCAGCAGGGACGAAGCGAGAGUGACGGUACCUGCAGAAGAAGGACCGGCCAACUACGUGCCAGCAGCCGCGGUAAUACGUAGGGUCCGAGCGUUGUCCGGAAUUAUUGGGCGUAAAGGGCUCGUAGGCGGUUCGUCACGUCGGGAGUGAAAACUCGGGGCUUAACCCCGAGCCUGCUUCCGAUACGGGCAGACUAGAGGUAGGCAGGGGAGAGCGGAACUCCUGGUGUAGCGGUGGAAUGCGCAGAUAUCAGGAAGAACACCGGUGGCGAAGGCGGCUCUCUGGGCCUUACCUGACGCUGAGGAGCGAAAGCGUGGGUAGCGAACAGGAUUAGAUACCCUGGUAGUCCACGCCGUAAACGUUGGGCGCUAGGUGUGGGGGACAUUCCACGUCCUCCGUGCCGCAGCUAACGCAUUAAGCGCCCCGCCUGGGGAGUACGGCCGCAAGGC
rnacentral:rRNA from 1 species